rnacentral:rRNA from 1 species
UGGGGAAUUUUGGACAAUGGGGGAAACCCUGCUCCAGCCAUCCCGCGUGUGCGAUGAAGGCCUUCGGGUUGUAAAGCACUUUUGGCAGGAAAGAAACGUCAUGGGUUAAUACCCCGUGAAACUGACGGUACCUGCAGAAUAAGCACCGGCUAACUACGUGCCAGCAGCCGCGGUAAUACGUAGGGUGCAAGCGUUAUUUGGAAUUACUGGGCGUAAAGCGUGCGCAGGCGGUUCGGAAAGAAAGAUGUGAAAUCCCAGAGCUCAACUUUGGAACUGCAUUUUUAACUACCGGGCUAGAGUGUGUCAGAGGGAGGUGGAAUUCCGCGUGUAGCAGUGAAAUGCGUAGAUAUGCGGAGGAACACCGAUGGCGAAGGCAGCCUCCUGGGAUAACACUGACGCUCAUGCACGAAAGCGUGGGGAGCAAACAGG